AUUGAACGCUGGCGGAAUGCUUUACACAUGCAAGUCGAACGGCAGCACGGGUGCUUGCACCUGGUGGCGAGUGGCGAACGGGUGAGUAAUGCACCGGAACGUACCCAGUAAUGGGGGAUAACUAUCCGAAAGGAUAGCUAAUACCGCAUACGCCCUGAGGGGGAAAGCGGGGGAUCGUAAGACCUCGCGUUAUUGGAGCGGCCGAUGCCGGAUUAGCUAGUUGGUGGGGUAAAGGCUUACCAAGGCGACGAUCCGUAGCUGGUCUGAGAGGACGACCAGCCACACGGGAACUGAGACACGGUCCAGACUCCUACGGGAGGCAGCAGUGGGGAAUUUUGGACAAUGGGCGAAAGCCUGAUCCAGCCAUUCCGCGUGAGUGAAGAAGGCCUUCGGGUUGUAAAGCUCUUUCGCAAGGAAAGAAAACCUACCCCCUAAUACGGGGUGAGGUUGACGGUACCUUGAUAAGAAGCACCGGCUAACUACGUGCCAGCCGCCGCCGUAACAC
rnacentral:rRNA from 1 species